UCAAGCGAAGAAGAGCGCAGGGUGGAUGCCUUGGCACUAAGAGCCGAUGAAAGACGUGAUAAGCUGCGAAAAGUCACGGGGAGGAGCAAAUAUCCUUUGAUCCGUGAAUGUCUGAAUGGGGAAACCCACAUGAGAAUACCUCAUGUAUCCAUACGCCAAUCCAUAACGUAUGGAAGGGAACCCGGUGAACUGAAACAUCUAAGUAGCCGGAGGAAGAGAAAGAAAAAUCGAUUUCCAAAGUAGCGGCGAGCGAAAUGGAAAGAGCCCAAACCGGAGUGCGUGCAUUCCGGGGUUCGGACCGCAUAAUUGAUUCAGUAAUUCCAGCAGAACUGUUUUGGGAAAGCAGACCAGAGAGGGUGAAAGUCCCGUAAGCGAAAGAAGAGCUGACAUGGCGGUAUCCAGAGUACAUCGAGACACGAGAAACCUUGAUGGAAUAAGCGGGGACCACCCCGUAAGGCUAAAUACUACUUAGUGACCGAUAGCGCAUAGUACUGUGAAGGAAAGGUGAAAAGGACCCCGGGAGGGGAGUGAAAGAGAACCUGAAACCCUGUGUUUACAAGCUGUGGAAGCACUUUAUAUGUGCGACCGCGUACUUUUUGUAGAACGGUCCGGCGAGUUACGCUUACUGGCAAGGUUAAGCACUUCAGGUGCGGAGCCGUAGGGAAACCAAGUCUUAAGAGGGCCUUAAGUCAGUAGGAGUAGACCCGAAACCGGGUGAUCUAUCCAUGUCCAGGUUGAAGCUGCCGUAAGAGGUAGUGGAGGACCGAACCCACAUCCGUUGAAAAGGGUGGGGAUGAGGUGUGGAUAGGGGAGAAAUUCCAAUCGAACCCGGAGAUAGCUGGUUCUCCUCGAAAUAGCUUUAGGGCUAGCCUCGUUUUAGUCUUGUGGAGGUAGAGCACUGAAUUUCCGCGGGGGCGUCAAAGCUUACCAAAGAAUAUCAAACUCCGAAUGCCAUUAAGAUGAUGAACGGGAGUCAGACUGUACGAGAUAAGUUGGACAGUCAAAAGGGAAAGAGCCCAGACCACCAGCUAAGGUCCCAAAGUGUGUGUUAAGUGGAAAAGGAUGUGGGGAUUCAAAGACAACUAGGAUGUUGGCUCAGAAGCAGCCAUUCAUUCAAAGAGUGCGUAACAGCUCACUAGUCGAGAGUCCCUGCGCCGAAAAUGUCCGGGGCUGAAACACAACACCGAAGCUGUGGAAUCAUACCUAGUAUGAUUGGUAGAGGAGCAUUCUUAAGACCGACGAAGCUGUACCGAUAAGGAGCAGUGGAGGGAUAAGAAGAGAGAAUGCCGGAAUGAGUAGCGAGAGGAAGGUGAGAAUCCUUCCGGCCGAAUAUCCAAGGAUUCCAGGGUAAAGCUGAUCUGCCCUGGGUAAGUCGGGACCUAAGGAGAGGCCGAGAGGCGUAUCCGAUGGACAACAGGUUUAGAUUCCUGUACCACAUAUGGUCAGAACUGUGGGGACGCAGAAGGAAAGCAUGAGCCAGGAAUGGAAAGACUGGUACAAGCAGAGGGGAUGGUGUGCUGGCAAAUCCGCACACGAAAGUCCUUGCUGUGAUGUGGAGCGAACCAAAGUAGCGAAGCAUGCGGACCGGCUGCCGAGAAAAGCCGCUAUUGUGCCAUAUGUGCCCGUACCGUAAACCGACACAGGUGGAUGAGGAGAGAAUCCUAAGGCCGACGGAAGAAGCAUUGUUAAGGAACUCGGCAAAAUGACCCCGUAACUUCGGGAGAAGGGGUGCCACAGAGAUGUGGCCGCAGAGAAUAGGCUCAAGCAACUGUUUAGCAAAAACACAGGUCUAUGCAAAACCGAAAGGUGAAGUAUAUGGGCUGACGCCUGCCCGGUGCUGGAAGGUUAAGGGGAGAGGUUAGCGCAAGCGAAGCUUUGAACUUAAGCCCCAGUAAACGGCGGCCGUAACUAUAACGGUCCUAAGGUAGCGAAAUUCCUUGUCGGGUAAGUUCCGACCCGCACGAAAGGCGUAAUGAUUUGAGCACUGUCUCGACAAUGCAUCCGGUGAAAUUGAAGUACCAGUGAAGAUGCUGGUUACCUGCGCCAGGACGGAAAGACCCCAUGGAGCUUUACUCCAGCUUGAUACUGGGAUUCGAUACUGUAUGUACAGGAUAGGUGGGAGACGUUGAGCAUAGAACGCCAGUUUUAUGUGAGUCGCUGUUGGGAUACCACCCUUGCAGUAUUGGAUUUCUAACCUGCACCCAUGACCUGGGUGGGGGACAAUGUCUGGCGGGGAGUUUGACUGGGGCGGUCGCCUCCGAAAGGGUAUCGGAGGCGCUCAAAGGUUCCCUCAGAAUGGUUGGAAACCAUUCGAAGAGUGCAAAGGCAGAAGGGAGCUUGACUGCGACACCGACGGGUGGAGCAGGUACGAAAGUAGGACUUAGUGAUCCGGUGGCAUAAAGUGGGAUUGCCAUCGCUCAACGGAUAAAAGCUACCCUGGGGAUAACAGGCUUAUCACUCCCAAGAGUUCACAUCGACGGAGUGGUUUGGCACCUCGAUGUCGGCUCAUCGCAUCCUGGGGCUGUAGUAGGUCCCAAGGGUUGGGCUGUUCGCCCAUUAAAGCGGUACGCGAGCUGGGUUCAGAACGUCGUGAGACAGUUCGGUCCCUAUCCGGCGCGGGCGUAGGAUAUCUGAGGGGAGCUGGCCUUAGUACGAGAGGACCGGGCUGGACGGACCACUGGUGCAUCAGCUGGAUACCAAAUCCAUAGCUGGGUAGCCAAGUCCGGAAGGGAUAAACGCUGAAGGCAUCUAAGCGUGAAGCCCCCCCCAAGAUGAGAUGUCCCUGUCUAUAAGACAGUAAGACCCCUGAAAGAGUAUCAGGUAGAUAGGGCAGAGGUGGAAGCACGGUAACGUGUGGAGCUGACUGUUACUAAUCGGUCGAGGGCUUGACCAA
rnacentral:rRNA from 1 species